rnacentral:rRNA from 1 species
UCGUUGUAGCAAUACGAUGGAAAGUCUAGUGGCGAACGGGUGCUUAACACGUGGGCAACCUGCCAGGAAGUGGGGGAUAGCUCGCCGAAAGGCGAAUUAAUACCGCAUGUGAUUAGAGAGGACAUCCUUUCGAAAUUAAAGUCGGGGCAACCUGACGCUUCUUGUGGGGCCCGCGGCCUAUCAGCUAGUUGGUGAGGUAAAGGCUCACCAAGGCUUUGACGGGUAGCUGGUCUGAGAGGACGACCAGCCACACUGGGACUGAGACACGGCCCAGACACCUACGGGUGGCAGCAGUCGAGAAUUUUUGACAAUGGGGGAAACCCUGAUCGAGCGACGCCGCGUGGAGGAUGAAGGUCUUCGGAUUGUAAACUCCUGUCAUUGGGGAACAAGGUGCAUACGUUAACUGCGUGUGCAUUGAUAGUACCCGAAGAGGAAGAGACGGCUAACUCUGUGCCAGCAGCCGCGGUAAUACAGAGGUCUCAAGCGUUGUUCGGAUUCAUUGGGCGUAAAGGGUGCGUAGGCGGCGCGGUAAGUCGGGUGUGAAAUCUCGGAGCUUAACUCCGAACUGCAUUCGAUACUGCCGUGCUUGAGGACUGGAGAGGAGACUGGAAUUCUCGGUGUAGCA